UGUUCUUGGUAAUCCUUUUUUAAUUAACAAUAAUUAAUUCUGUUACGCUUGCACACGCAGCGUAUUCAGAGUCUGUGAAAUAUCCCUGUUCUCUGGGAAGGACCUAUUAUCCCCUGUACUGUGUGGAUGUUCUGUACAAGCGUUUUCUAGAAGGAGUUGGAGACAACGAUCCUGUUUUCUAUCAACAAUAUUUGCGUACUGCACAGACGCAAUGGAUUUGUGUUCUCUUUACAGUUUUUAGUAUAUUUACCGGACUUAGAUUUAGUUAUAUAGAAUGUUUCUUGUGAUUAUUUUGUGCUGAAGGACUGCGGAUAACUGUGAAUGAAGCAGCUAUACCUCAAUAAAGUUCGAAGCCCUUUCCUUUGUUUUAUUCAUCAUGAGAAAGAGCAGAGUAGGGGUACUUACGGUUCGAUCCAACGAAGUUCAGCACGGUAUCAACUUUGUAUAAACUAGGGCAACGCUAGCUGCGAAACAAAUUCCUAACCUUGAUUCUUGAAUCUAAAAAUAUGAAAAACUGCAAACAAAAUGAAAAUAAAAUAUGCGACAUGUUUUGAUGUUAAA